GCCGCUGCCGCUGCCCUCACUUCAGCGGCUGCCAGCUCCUCCCGCUCGUGGGGUCGCGGCGCGCAGCUGAUCCUAAGCUCCUUGGGUUCAGAGAGAAUAGAGAAUUUCUUGUCACACACUUCAAUCAUUUCCUACUGGAAUGAACAGAGAAACAGAUAUGCCCCAGUGUGACAGUAUUUGGAGGAGAGGCUUUUGCAAGAUUCCGGGCACAAAAUAAGUGCAUAUAAUAAUUAUUUAUGAUUGACUGGGGACUCCCCUGAAAACAUCUGAACUUUUUCCCAGGUCACAAAUCUGUAGACUUACAUGAACGUGUUGUGCUGUGCUACAACUGGUAAUCAGCAUACCUGGAACUUAACAGGAGUGGAUACACAACCACAGAGCACGACUCCACAGCUCCACAAGUCCAAGAAGGUAUGCCCCGUAAAACCCAAACUAAAGGGCUGUGUGAAUAGCGCGAUGAGAAUUUGCCAGCCAGCUAGAAGACUGAGGCGACAUCUCUCCACUCACGUCUGCCACUUGAUGUACUCUGCUCCUGUGCACACUGCUCUUGAGUGUGGGAAGCUUGGCACACACGUAUCAGGCCAGGCAAAAACCCGCAGAGCGAGGAAAUAAUUCAGAAACCACCGGACACACUGCCAGAUUAGCCGCCUCCAUUAUCACAGUCCCAGGCAUCCGCAAUGACUAGGCACAUUUCUGCAUGACUUCAUUCACUGGUUUGGGCCAAAGAAAGACAACAGAAGGAAGGUCCCAUGUAGACAGCUGUGCCGAAUAGAUGUGGCGCCACUGCUGUCCAGGACUGUCAGUCCUACUAAACCCGCCAACGGGUGGGGCCGCCCAACAUAAAUAUAGAUAAUAUUUGUGGUUGAACGCCCACACAGUUAUGCAGAAAGCCUUAUGGUUGGCUUACAGUUUGAUCUGGUAUUUUUAAAAAUACUAAGGCAUAAAUAGAAAGAUGACCUAGAUGCAUAAAUAGAUGUCCCUGCCCACCAUGUGCUAGAAAAAUAUCUCGGGGUCUCAAACACUGAAAUAAACAUGAUUUCUACCCUGUAGUAAAAACAAUUGAAUUUUCCCAAAUUCAAAAUUAGGCAAAGCCUGAGGAUUUACUAGAAAAAUUAAAAUUUUUUCUCUCUCUUUUCACUAUAG